AAGGCUGAAAACAUUAUUUCAAGAGACGGGAUUUAAAAAAAAAAUGUCGGAUUUCCGAUACGCGCCCUUUUGUGCUAUGGGAUAUGCCAUAUUACAUAUGUAUAUAUAACUAGCGCAUAUCUCGUCUCUAUGCUAUUCUAGACUCUCGGACGAUGGUGUGCUUCUCAUAAAGCAAAACCAAACGCUUCACGUUAUUCUUCAAUGAAAAAAUUAAAGUAUUGGUGCAAGUAGUUGAAAAGAAAACACUUUUUGGAGCUUCUAUAAGUUACAGAAAAUCUUUAAAUUACCAAAAAUUUACUGGUAAAGAAAGCUAAAUAUCAAAGCUAAGCUCAAAACUUAAAAAAAAUUGAAUUCAAAAAAAUUCAAUCAUGAAUAAAAAAUACUAUCUGAAGAAUAAAAGCGCUUAUUGCAUACAAAAUUUUAAAAAUUUAUAUUACUUUUAACUUUUUUAAAUCAAUCUGAAUCUACAUGAUAAAUAUUUUUAUCUUUUAAUCAAUGCAAUUUUGAAAUUUCAAGUUGAAUCGUUGAUUGUGGUUUGCGAGAAAAUUAAUGGUGCUAUGUCAAUAUUGUAAGCUGGUGAUUCAGGAAUCGAUGAAUACAGAUUUGAGUUAGAAAAUGAAAUUGAUGAUUUGACUUUUGGUUUUUUUUUUGUCUAUGAGACAUGACUUUGAAUAUCAGAUAAACCGCUCUAGACAUUAUAUAUUUACAUUUUUCGUUAA